GGGAAAACAGUAAUGCACUCGCCUUGAAAGCGAGAGACGGCUAACACCGUCCGGGGGUUCAAAUCCCUCCGCCA
rnacentral:tRNA from 1 species